UGGCUCAGAACGAACGCUGGCGGCAGGCCUAACACAUGCAAGUCGAACGAACCUUUUAGGUGAGUGGCGCACGGGUGCGUAACGCGUGGGAAUGUACCCCUAGGUGAGGAAUAACGUAGAGAAAUUUGCGCUAAUACCUCAUAAUAACUUCGGUUCAAAGAUUUAUCGCCUAGGGAUCAGCCCGCGUCAGAUUAGAUAGUUGGUGAGGUAACGGCUCACCAAGUCGACGAUCUGUAGGGGGUCUGAGAGGAUGAUCCCCCACACUGGUACUGAGACACGGACCAGACUCCUACGGGAGGCAGCAGUGAGGAAUAUUGGACAAUGGAGGCAACUCUGAUCCAGCCAUGCCGCGUGAGUGAAGACGGCCUUAGGGUUGUAAAGCUCUUUCAAUUGCGAAGAUAAUGACGGUAACAAUAGAAGAAGCUCCGGCUAAAUUCGUGCCAGCAGCCGCGGUAAUACGAAUGGAGCAAGCGUUGUUCGGAAUCACUGGGCUUAAAGCGUAUGUAGGCGGACUGGAAAGUCAGGAGUGAAAUCCCGAGGCUCAACCUCGGAACUGCUCUUGAAACUCUCAGUCUAGAAUCCUGGAGAGGUUAGGAGAAUUCCGAGUGUAGAGGUGAAAUUCGCAGAUAUUCGGAGGAAUACCAGUGGCGUAGGCGCCUAACUGGACAGGUAUUGACGCUCAGAUACGAAAGCGUGGGGAGCAAACAGGAUUAGAUACCCUGGUAGUCCACGCCGUAAACGAUGUUUGCUAGUUGUCAGCCCUUAGGGUUUGGUGACGGAGAGAAAUCAUUAAGCAAACCGCCUGGGGAGUACGGCGCAAGGUUAAAACUCAAA
rnacentral:rRNA from 1 species